rnacentral:rRNA from 1 species
GACGAACGCUGGCGGCGUGCUUAACACAUGCAAGUCGAACGGAAAGGCCCUGCUUUUGUGGGGUGCUCGAGUGGCGAACGGGUGAGUAACACGUGAGUAACCUGCCCUUGACUUUGGGAUAACUUCAGGAAACUGGGGCUAAUACCGGAUAGGAGCUCCUGCUGCAUGGUGGGGGUUGGAAAGUUUCGGCGGUUGGGGAUGGACUCGCGGCUUAUCAGCUUGUUGGUGGGGUAGUGGCUUACCAAGGCUUUGACGGGUAGCCGGCCUGAGAGGGUGACCGGCCACAUUGGGACUGAGGUACGGCCCAGACUCCUACUGGAGGCAGCAGUGGGGAAUAUUGCACAAUGGGCGGAAGCCUGAUGCAGCAACGCCGCGUGCGGGAUGACUGCCUUCGGGUUGUAAACCGCUUUCGCCUGUGACGAAGCGUGAGUGACGGUAAUGGGUAAAGAAGCACCGGCUAACUACGUG